CUGAAACUACUGGGCCAAAUUUAACCAAACUUAGCCAUAAUCAUCAUUGGGGUAUUAAGUUAAAAAAAUGGGUCCAGUAACUCGGCCAACAAACCAAGAUGGCCACCAUGGCUAAAAAUAGAACAUGGGGGUAAAAUGCAGUUUUUGGCUUAUAACUCAAAAACCAAAGCAUUAGAGCAAAUCUGACAGGAAGUAAAAUUGUUGAUCAGGUCACGAUCUAUCUGCCCUGGAAUUUUCAGAUGAAUCGGAUAAUCGGUUGUUAGGUUGCUGCCCCUGAAUUGGUAAUUUUGAGGAAAUUUUGCUGUUUUUUUUGUUAUUAUCUUGAAUAUUAUUAUAGAUAGAGAUAAACUGUAAACAGCAAUAAUGUACAGCAAAGUAAGAACUAAAAAUAAGUCAGUAUGACCAAAAUAGUCAAUUGACCCCCUAAGGAGUUAUUGCCCUUCAUAGUCAAUUUUUAACAAUUUUCUUAAAAUUUGAAGAUUUUCAAUAACAUUUUCCACAGAAAGUACUGUUAUAGAUAGAGAUAAUUGUAAGCAGCAAGAAUGUUUAGUAAAGUAAGAUCUGCAAACACAUCACCAUCACCAAAACACAAUUUUGUCAUGAAUCCAUCUGUGUCCAUUGUUUAAUAUUCACAUAGACC
rnacentral:lncRNA from 1 species